CGGCCGGACGUACGUCGAUCACUUCUUCGCUACCGAUGGCCUGACGACGCAGCUUCUCGUUCACCGAGCCUGGCGCCUUGCCGUAGCCGCCCUGCAGGUAGAGCUUCACUUCGUUGGUGAUGGUCUUGUAGCGCUCACCGGCCAA
rnacentral:misc_RNA from 1 species